AUGCUCGCUUCAGCAGCACAUAUACUAAAACUGGAAUGAUACAGAGAAGAUUAGCAUGGCCCCUGCACAAGGAUGACAUGAAAAUCAAUUGAUCUCCGACUGUAGAUA
rnacentral:snRNA from 1 species